CAAGUCGAACGAGAAAGGGUAGCAAUACCUGAGUAAAGUGGCGCACGGGUGAGUAACACGUGACUAACCUACCCUGGAGUGGGGGAUAACUGAGGGAAACCUUAGCUAAUACCGCAUAACACCUACGGGUCAAAGGAGCAAUUCGCUUCAGGAGGGGGUCGCGGCCGAUUAGUUAGUUGGCAGGGUAAUGGCCUACCAAGACGAUGAUCGGUAUCCGGCCUGAGAGGGCGCACGGACACACUGGAACUGAAACACGGUCCAGACUCCUACGGGAGGCAGCAGUGGGGAAUUUUGCGCAAUGGGGGAAACCCUGACGCAGCAACGCCGCGUGGAGGAUGAAGUCCUUCGGGACGUAAACUCCUUUCGAUCGGGACGAUUAUGACGGUACCGAGAGAAGAAGCCCCGGCUAACUUCGUGCCAGCAGCCGCGGUAAUACGAGGGGGGCGAGCGUUGUUCGGAAUUAUUAGGCGUAAAGGGUGCGUAGGCGGUUUGGUAAGUCUUAUGUGAAAUCUACAGGCUCAACUUGUAGUCUGCAUGAGAAACUGCCGGGCUUGAGUAUGGGAGAGGUGAGUGGAAUUCCUGGUGUAGCGGUGAAACGCGUAGAUAUCAGGAGGUACACCUGUGGCGAAAGCGGCUCACUGGACCAUAACUGACGCUGAUGCACGAAAGCUAGGGGAGCAAACAGGAUUAGAUACCCUGGUAGUCCUAGCCCUAAACGAUGACUGCUUGGUGUGACGGGUACCCAAUCCCGCCGUGCCGUAGCUAACGCGUUAAGCAGUCCGCCUGGGGAGUACGGUCGCAAGGCUGAAACUCAAAGGAAUUGACGGGGGGCCCGCACA
rnacentral:rRNA from 1 species